rnacentral:rRNA from 1 species
GAACGAACUCUGGUAUUGAUUGGUGCUUGCAUCAUGAUUUACAUUUGAGUGAGUGGCGAACUGGUGAGUAACACGUGGGAAACCUGCCCAGAAGCGGGGGAUAACACCUGGAAACAGAUGCUAAUACCGCAUAACAACUUGGACCGCAUGGUCCGAGUUUGAAAGAUGGCUUCGGCUAUCACUUUUGGAUGGUCCCGCGGCGUAUUAGCUAGAUGGUGGGGUAACGGCUCACCAUGGCAAUGAUACGUAGCCGACCUGAGAGGGUAAUCGGCCACAUUGGGACUGAGACACGGCCCAAACUCCUACGGGAGGCAGCAGUAGGGAAUCUUCCACAAUGGACGAAAGUCUGAUGGAGCAACGCCGCGUGAGUGAAGAAGGGUUUCGGCUCGUAAAACUCUGUUGUUAAAGAAGAACAUAUCUGAGAGUAACUGUUCAGGUAUUGACGGUAUUUAACCAGAAAGCCACGGCUAACUACGUGCCAGCAGCCGCGGUAAUACGUAGGUGGCAAGCGUUGUCCGGAUUUAUUGGGCGUAAAGCGAGCGCAGGCGGUUUUUUAAGUCUGAUGUGAAAGCCUUCGGCUCAACCGAAGAAGUGCAUCGGAAACUGGGAAACUUGAGUGCAGAAGAGGACAGUGGAACUCCAUGUGUAGCGGUGAAAUGCGUAGAU